AUAUCAUCAGCGGCAUUAUGCUAGCUUACAUCCCUACCCCUCCUGCCCUCACCUGCUGUCCUUUUGUUUUUGGUUUUUUUGCUGCACAUUGAGAGACGACCUCUAUUCUGCAUUUCACCAGGAGUCAGCUGAUGGAUUGUGGGUUCAAGGUGUUAUGAUAAAAUGCAGCAUUCCAGUGCAUCCCAACCAUGCCUUUGCAGUCAAGGUUUCUGACGGAGCUGAGUUUCUCUCUGACAGUCUGCUGAAAGUGUUUGCAAAGUGAUCGGGGGAACAGGGCACAAAGCUAAAGGAUGUAGCUGCCAUGAUGACAUCAAGGAUGACAUUAAUGCUCGGAGUCCCUCAUCAAAGUGCUCCGCAUCUGUGUGAAAGACAAUUGCAACAUCUUGGUGCAGGAGUUCAUGGACUUGACUGAGGCCACUGCACAGAUUGAGAAAACCACAAUGAACAUCUGUCUCCAGAGAUGCGCCAGGCAAU
ensembl:lncRNA